CGAGUUCCCGUACGAUCACUAAAGUUAAGCAACGUCGAGCCUGUUCAGUACAUAGUUAGGCAACCGCUUGGGAAUACCAGGUGCUGUAAG